rnacentral:sRNA from 18 species
ACGUAGCACGUGUGCACUCCGGUUCCUGCGCGCCUUUCGCACCCACCUGACGACUGCUCGCUGCGUCCUGGUAGCC